GGUUGUUGCUUUGAAGGGAAGUAAAAAGUUCUCCACUCGUUUCAUCAUCAUACUUUCAUUCUGCAGAAUGAAGUCGUGCGUCGAGCUUCUCUUUGUUUCUCUGCUGACAUUAUGUGAAGCACAAGGAACCAUUGUGACUCCUGUGUUUGUGCUGAAGGGACGUGAUCUGCUCCUCAAGCUUCAUGCUGAUCCUCCUGAGAAGUUUUUAUUUGUUGACUGGAAAAUCAAUAAAACAGACCUUUUAGUAAGAUUUAAACCUGGUGGAGAAGCAACAGUCACUGGAAGGGUUCAGUUUGGUGAGAAUAAAUUCUCUGUGAGAUUGAAGAAUGUACAAGAGGUCGACAGUGGACUUUAUUCUGCUGUAGCAGUAACAGGUGUAAACAAACUACUGACUGAAUACAAGGUCACAGUUCAAGGACCAGUGUCUCCAGUUGAACUGAUCGUGGACCAAGUGGACUCCAGCUCAGAGUCAUGUGACCUCCUUGUGACCUGCAGGACUCACAACUCAAACAUCAGCAGCACUUUCAGAUGUGUCGAC